AGUUUUGUAGUGAAAUUCACGCUAAAUUGCAAAUUUAGAAAUGCAGGGUAGGACCUGCCGGGGCUU
rnacentral:tRNA from 1 species